AUUGCCUCAGUAACGGCGAGUGAAGCGGCACAAGCUCAAAUUUGAAAUCUGGCUCCCUCGGGGCCCGAGUUGUAAUUUGUAGAAGAUGCUUGGGGUGUGGCACCGGUCUAAGUCCCCUGGAAUGGGACGCCAGAGAGGGUGAGAGCCCCGUAUAGUCGGACACCAAGCCUCUGUAAAGCUCCUUCGACGAGUCGAGUAGUUUGGGAAUGCUGCUCAAAAUGGGAGGUAAAUUUCUUCUAAAGCUAAAUACCGGCCAGAGACCGAUAGCGCACAAGUAGAGUGAUCGAAAGAUGAAAAGCACUUUGAAAAGAGGGUUAAACAGUACGUGAAAUUGUUGAAAGGGAAGCGCUCAUGACCAGACUUGCGCCCGGCGGAUCAUCCAGCGUUCUCGCUGGUGCACUCCGCCGGGCUCAGGCCAGCAUCGGUUCCGGUGGGGGGAUAAAAGUCGUGGGAAUGUGACUCCUCCGGGAGUGUUAUAGCCCGCUUCAUAAUGCCCUCGCCGAGACCGAGGUACGCGCUCCGCAAGGAUGCUGGCGUAAUGGUUAUCAGCGACCCGU
rnacentral:rRNA from 1 species